GGGGGGACUAGCAUAUCAAUAAGCGGAGGAAAAGAAACUAACAAGGAUUCCCCUAGUAACUGCGAGUGAAGCGGGAAAAGCUCAAAUUUAAAAUCUGGUGGUCUUUGUCCAUCCGAGUUGUAAUUUAGAGAAGCGUCUUCCGCGUCGGACCGUGCACAAGUCUCCUGGAAUGGAGCGUCACAGAGGGUGAGAAUCCCGUCUUUGGCACGGACACACCGGGGCUUUUGUGAUGCGCUCUCGAAGAGUCGAGUUGUUUGGGAAUGCAGCUCAAAAUGGGUGGUGAACUCCAUCUAAAGCUAAAUAUUGGCGAGAGACCGAUAGCGAACAAGUACCGUGAGGGAAAGAUGAAAAGCACUUUGGAAAGAGAGUGAAACAGUACGUGAAAUUGUUGAAAGGGAAACGCUUGAAGUCAGUCGCGUCGACCGAGACUCAGCCUCGCCUCGGCUUGGUGUACUUCUCGGCCGACGGGUCAGCAUCAAUUUCACCCCUUGGACAAUGGCGAGGGAAAUGUGACACCUUUACGGUGUGUUAUAGUCUCUCGUCGCAUGCAAGGGUCGGGAUUGAGGAACUCAGCACGCGCCUUCGGGUGUCGGGGCCUUUGCCCACGAAACGUGCUUAGGAUGUUGGCGUAAUGGCUUUAAACGACCCGUCUUGAAACACGGACCAAGGAGUCUAACAUGCCUGCGAGUGUUCGGGUGGAAAACCCGUGCGCGCAAUGAAAGUGAAAGUUGGGACCUCUGUCGUGGAGGGCACCGACGCCCGGACCAGACCUUCUGUGACGGCUCUGCGGUAAAGCAUGUAUGUUAGGACCCGAAAGAUGGUGAACUAUGCCUGAAUAGGGUGAAGCCAGAGGAAACUCUGGUGGAGGCUCGUAGCGAUUCUGACGUGCAAAUCGAUCGUCAAAUUUGGGUAUAGGGGCGAAAGACUAAUCGAACCAUCUAGUAGCUGGUUCCUGCCGAUUUCCCUCCU
rnacentral:rRNA from 1 species